rnacentral:rRNA from 1 species
UACAGAGGGUGCGAGCGUUGUUCGGAAUUAUUGGGCGUAAAGGGCGCGUAGGCGGUGCGGUAAGUCACCUGUGAAAUCUCCUGGCUCAACUGGGAGCUUGCAGGCGAAACUGCCGUGCUGGAGUGUGGGAGAGGUGCGUGGAAUUCCUGGUGUAGCGGUGAAAUGCGUAGAUAUCAGGAGGAACACCUGUGGCGAAAGCGGCGCACUGGACCACAACUGACGCUGAGGCGCGAAGGCCAGGGGAGCGAACGGG